UACGGAGGGGGCUAGCGUUGUUCGGAAUUACUGGGCGUAAAGCGCACGUAGGUGGCUUUGUAAGUUAGAGGUGAAAGCCCGGGGCUCAACCCCGGAAUUGCCCUUAAGACUGCAUCGCUAGAAUUGUGGAGAGGUGAGUGGAAUUCCGAGUGUAGAGGUGAAAGUCGUAGAUAUUCGGAAGAACACCAGUGGCGAAGGCGACUCACUGGACACAUAUUGACACUGAGGUGCGAAAGCGUGGGGAGCAAACAGG
rnacentral:rRNA from 1 species